rnacentral:tRNA from 2 species
CUCCUGUUAGCUCAAUUGGAUAGAGCAACAAACUUCUAAUUUGUAGGUUACUGGUUCGAAUCCAGUAUGGGAGA